rnacentral:rRNA from 1 species
AGUGAACGCUGGCGGUAGGCCUAACACAUGCAAGUCGAACGGCAGCACAGUAAGAGCUUGCUCUUACGGGUGGCGAGUGGCGGACGGGUGAGGAAUACAUCGGAAUCUACUUUUUCGUGGGGGAUAACGUAGGGAAACUUACGCUAAUACCGCAUACGACCUACGGGUGAAAGCAGGGGAUCUUCGGACCUUGCGCGAUUGAAUGAGCCGAUGUCGGAUUAGCUGGUUGGCGGGGUAAAGGCCCACCAAGGCGACGAUCCGUAGCUGGUCUGAGAGGAUGAUAAGCCACACUGGAACUGAGACACGGUCCAGACUCCUACGGGAGGCAGCAGUGGGGAAUAUUGGACAAUGGGCGCAAGCCUGAUCCAGCCAUACCGCGUGGGUGAAGAAGGCCUUCGGGUUGUAAAGCCCUUUUGUUGGGAAAGAAAAGCAGCAGGUUAAUACCCCGCUGUUCUGACGGUACCCAAAGAAUAAGCACCGGCUAACUUCGUG